AGAGUUUGAUCAUGGCUCAGAUUGAACGCUGGCGGCAGGCUUAACACAUGCAAGUCGAGCGCGAAAGUCCUUCGGGGCGAGUAGAGCGGCGGACGGGUGAGUAACGCGUAGGAAUCUACCUGGUAGUGGGGGACAACUUGUGGAAACGCAAGCUAAUACCGCAUACGCCCUAUGGGGGAAAGUGGGGGACCUUCGGGCCUCACGCUAUCGGAUGAGCCUGCGUAGGGUUAGCUAGUUGGUGAGGUAAAGGCUCACCAAGGCGACGAUCCUUAGCUGGUCUGAGAGGAUGAUCAGCCACACUGGGACUGAGACACGGCCCAGACUCCUACGGGAGGCAGCAGUGGGGAAUAUUGCGCAAUGGGGGCAACCCUGACGCAGCCAUGCCGCGUGUGUGAAGAAGGCCUUAGGGUUGUAAAGCACUUUCAAUUGGGAAGAAAAGUUGGUCGUUAAUAGCGGCCAGCCCUGACAUUACCUUUAGAAGAAGCACCGGCUAACUCCGUGCCAGCAGCCGCGGUAAUACGGAGGGUGCGAGCGUUAAUCGGAAUUACUGGGCGUAAAGCGCGCGUAGGCGGUUUGUUAAGUCAGCUGUGAAAGCCCUGGGCUCAACCUGGGAACUGCAGUUGAUACUGGCCGACUAGAGUAUGAAAGAGGGAGGUAGAAUUCCAUGUGUAGCGGUGAAAUGCGUAGAUAUAUGGAGGAAUACCAGUGGCGAAGGCGGCCUCCUGGUUCAAUACUGACGCUGAGGUGCGAAAGCGUGGGGAUCAAACAGGAUUAGAUACCCUGGUAGUCCACGCCGUAAACGAUGUCUACUAGCCGUUGGGAGACUUGAUUUCUUAGUGGCGCAGCUAACGCAAUAAGUAGACCGCCUGGGGAGUACGGCCGCAAGGUUAAAACUCAAAUGAAUUGACGGGGGCCCGCACAAGCGGUGGAGCAUGUGGUUUAAUUCGAUGCAACGCGAAGAACCUUACCAGGUCUUGACAUCCUGAAAACUUUCUAGAGAUAGAUUGGUGCCUUCGGGAAUUCAGUGACAGGUGCUGCAUGGCUGUCGUCAGCUCGUGUCGUGAGAUGUUGGGUUAAGUCCCGUAACGAGCGCAACCCUUGUCCUUAGUUGCCAGCACAUAAUGGUGGGAACUCUAAGGAAACUGCCGGUGACAAACCGGAGGAAGGUGGGGACGACGUCGAGUCAUCAUGGCCCUUACGACCUGGGCUACACACGUGCUACAAUGGCAAGUACAGAGGGCUGCAAUAGCGCAAGCUGGAGCGAAUCCCACAAAACUUGUCGUAGUCCGGAUUGGAGUCUGCAACUCGACUCCAUGAAGUCGGAAUCGCUAGUAAUCGUGAAUCAGAAUGUCACGGUGAAUACGUUCCCGGGCCUUGUACACACCGCCCGUCACACCAUGGGAGUGGGUUGCAAAAGAAGUGGGUAGACUAACCUUCGGGAGGUCGCUCACCACUUUGUGAUUCAUGACUGGGGUGAAGUCGUAACAAGGUA
rnacentral:rRNA from 1 species